ensembl:snRNA U6 U6 spliceosomal RNA
UUGCUUUGGCAGUACAUAGAUUCAAAAUUGGAAAAAAACAGAGUAUUAGCAUGGCCCCUGCACUAGGAUUAUACAAAUUCCUGAAGCAGUCCAUAUUUUU